UGGCGACCGGCGCACGGUGAGUAACGCGUAUGCAACCUGCCCGAUACCGGGGUAUAGCCCAUGGAAACGUGGAUUAACACCCCAUAGUACUUUUAUCCUGCCUGGGAUGUGAGUUAAAUGUUCAAGGUAUCGGAUGGGCAUGCGUCCUAUUAGUUAGUUGGCGGGGUAACAGCCCACCAAGACGAUGAUAGGUAGGGGUUCUGAGAGGAAGGUCCCCCACAUUGGAACUGAGACACGGUCCAA
rnacentral:rRNA from 1 species